rnacentral:lncRNA from 1 species
GUUCUCAUGAUAGUGAAUGGGUCUCACAAGAUCUGAUGGAUUUAAAGACGGGAGUUUCUCUGCACAAGCUCUCUCUUUUUGCCUGCUGCCGUCCACAUAAGAUGUGACUUGCUCCUCCUUGACUUUUGCCUUCCACCAUGAUUGUGAGGCCUCCCCAGCCACAUGGAACUACAAUGAACUCCAUCCCUGGCCUUGAGGAAGUCCCAGACCACCGAUGAAAUGCAUGGACAGCAACAGAAGAAAGGACAAUCUGAUGAUUCGAGUCAUUUGGAUAAAUAAUCCUCUGAUGCUUAACCAACUUGUGGAAGAAGGAAACUGCUUAGAUGUGUGUAAAAUUAACACCAAGCUCGGAGUGAAAUUCACCAUAAAUCUCAGCUCUAAAGUUAAAUGACACAUUUGAAUCCUGAAAUCAUCAAACAAGCAAAUAAUUUCAGCAGCUGCCUCACAAAAGACAUCUUCAGAGACUACAUUCAGCAAGUAGACAACUAAGAAUUAAUUUAGGAAAAGCACUCACUCUCUCUCUCUUUUGAAAAACUGAAAGGCAGUAUCAAUUGACCAUAAAGUUGAUCUCAAUAGACUGUAUCAGAUACACAGACAUUGAUUUAAAAAUGCAGGCACACACAAAAGUACUCCCUACACAAGCCUAUUCCUUUGGGCCUUUGUUAUUUUUAUUUUUUUUGAGAGGGACUCUUGCUCUGUUGCCCAGGCUGGAGUGCAGUGGCGUAGUCUUGUCUCACUGCAACCUCUGCCUCCCGGGUUCAAGCGAUUCUCUUGCCUCAGCCUCCUCAGUGGCUGGGAUUACAGGCACCCACCACCAUGCCUGGAAAAUUUUUGUAUUUUUAGUAGAGAUGGGGUUUCACCAUGUUGACCAGGCUGGUCUCAAACUCCUGACCUCAUGAUCCGCUCCUCUUGGCCUCCCAAAGUGCUGGGAUUACAGGUGUGAGCCACCGCGCCCGGAUGGCCAUUUUUAAAAAAACUUGAAAUCUGCCUUGAAGACCUGGUAUGAGUUGAACCUCCCCUCCCACCCCAAUUUAAUAUGUUACAGUCCUAACCCCCCCCGCCAGUAAUUCAGAAUGUGACCUUAUUUAGAGAUAACAUCUUUACAGAGGUAAUCAAGUUAAAAUGAAAUCAUUAGGAUAGGCCCUAAUUCAGUAUGACUGGUGUCCUUUUGGACACAGGAACACAUAUAGAAAGAAAAUGAGUUGAAGAGACAUAGAGGGAAGACAACCAUCUAUGAGCAAAGAAGACAGGCCUGGAACAGAUCCUUCUCUCAAAGUCCUCAGAAGAAACCAACUCUGCUGAUUCCUUGAUCUUGGACUUCAAAAUUCUAAGACAAUAAAUUACUGUUGUUUAAGCCUCCCUGUUUGUGGUACUUCAUUACAGCAGCCCUGGGAAACCAGCACAGACCCUAUAGGAGGAGGGUCAUAAGACUGAUCUGUCCUAAUAAAUCGACAGGAAAACACUGCAGAAACUCCCUUUUUCUUGCCUGUAGUCACUUCAUCUGAGAUAGUUUGAAAUGGUCAAACACACUGGAUUUACUGAAGGAUCAAGAUUCUGCUAUUUACUAGCUCUGUGAACAAGAGCCAAUCCCUUAACCUCUCUGAUUUACCAUUUUUGAAAAUAAAGUAAUGAUAUCUGCCAUAUCUCCCUUCAACUCUAUAUAGACAAAAUAUUUUAAAAUAGAGAUAUGCCAAACACUCCAGUGAACUGUAAAAGUUCUCUGUAAACAUAAGGUAUUACCCAUAGUGUUAAUUUUUGGUAGGGUAACCAGAGUGGCAUUUCAGGACACCACUACUGAUACAAUAUGCUUUGAUUUCAGAAAGGCAUCUGAUGGCACCAGACAGAUAACUUUGUUGGACAAGCUCGAAAACGUCAGGCUGGAUGACAGCAGAGUUGGAGAAAUUCAUAGCUGCUAUAUAUUCCUACUUAAAAGGUUGAUUAAUAGGAUGAGGGAAGUAUGGCUGGAGAGCUCUUAGAGAACUCUGGAAACAUAUCAUUGAGCUCGGCCCCAGCCAUGUUCUUGCUAAUGGCUUACUGUGAAAAGGAUAACAAUUUGGAGAAGACAGUUUGUUUACUAGAUAGCACAAUCCAGCUUUAAAAAGGCAGAGACCCCAUAUAUAUGUACAAAUAUUAUGUAUCAGAAAAUUUUUAAAAUGUCAAAAAUACAGCCACAAGCUAAAUGGAAUGUAUGUAAAAUCCUACACUUACAUUUUACACAAUUCAAAUGCAUAGGUAAAGACAUAUGAGACUUGAUUACAGCGAGGACCAGGAGCUUAAAAUAAGCAGCACAGAACAGUCGCCCAUAAAAAUCGAUUCCAGGCUGGGUACGGUGGCUCACGCCUGUAAUCCCAGCACUUUGGGAGGCCAAGGCGGGCAGAACACCUGAGGUCAGGAGUUCGAGACCAGCCUGACCAACAUGGUGAAACCCUGCCUCUACUAAAAAUACAAAAAUUAGCUAGGCGUGGUGAUACAUGCCUGUAAUCCCAGCUACUCGGGAGGCUAGGGCAGGAGAAUUGCUUGAACCCGG